AAACUUUUGUUUGAUACUUACCGUUAUGUGUUUUCUAAAAAAAUAACCUAUAAAGACCUAUAUCUACACCACUUUUCAUUUUCAUGCACAAGAGAACAAGAAAUGACAAUUUUCUUUUCUUACUUGCUGUCUAGUACUCCUGAGGGUCUAUAAGGAUGUUCUCCUACUCGUGAACCUAAUGUCUAAUUUUAACAAUUAACCGAUCGUCCCUAUAUCCAGUCUGGUAAUGGGUGUCAAACAUUCUAUUGUCUUGAUAACCCAUUCGGUAUGAGGGUAAACGAUAUCUCCUAAAUCUUUCCAGUAAGGGGCUUUCUAACCCUGUUCAACUGAGAUAACGUUCACGGUAGGGUUUUCUACGUACUGAGCCUGUCCGCCUUUUC
rnacentral:lncRNA from 1 species